GACGUAGGUAGCAAGCGUUGUCCGGAAUAACUGGGCGUAAAGGGUGCGUAGGCGGUUUCUUAAGUCUGAUGUGAAAUCCUGUGGCUCAACCACAGAACUGCAUUAGAUACUGGGAGACUGGAGUGCGGAAGAGGUUAACGGAAUUACUAGUGUGGCGGUGGAAUGCGUAGAUAUUAGUAAGAAGACCGGUGGCGAAGGCGGUUAACUGGGACGUAACUGACGCUGAGGCACGAAAGCGUGGGGAGCAAAC
rnacentral:rRNA from 1 species